UAUUCUUAAGAUACCUGAAAACAUUAAAGUGAGGUGGCUAUCUCACUAUAAGAUAGUGAAUGCUGUCUUUAGAAGUUUAAAAUCAAUUAUGAUGGCUUGCAAGCAUAUCUACAAGAACGACAUAGAUCUUGCAUCACUAACAGAUGAUAUUUUGUUGGGAAUAAGAAAAACAAGCUUCUUUGUCACCUGUUAUGUAAUGAAUG